rnacentral:rRNA from 1 species
UACGUAGGGAGCAAGCGUUGUCCGGAUUCACUGGGUGUAAAGGGUGCGCAGGCGGACUUGUAAGUCAGAGGUGAAAUCUUACGGCUUAACCGUGAAACUGCCUUUGAUACUGCAGGUCUUGAGUUUGGGAGAGGUUGAUGGAAUUCCAGGUGUAGCGGUGAAAUGCGUAGAUAUCUGGAAGAACACCGGUGGCGAAGGCGGCAUCCUGGACCGGCACUGACGCUGAGGAGCGAAAGCCAGGGGAGCAAACGGG